CCCCUAGAUGUUCUGGGCCGCACGCGCGCUACACUGAACAGUUCAACAAGUCUUAACCUUGGCCGAUAGGUCUGGGUAAUCUUUGAACGCUGUUCGUGAUUGGGAUAGACCUUUGCAAUUAUGGGUCUUCAACGAGGAAUUCCUAGUAAACGCAAGUCAUCAGCUUGCAUUGAUUACGUCCCUGCCCUUUGUACACACCGCCCGUCGCACCUACCGAUUGAGUGAUCCGGUGAAUUAUUCGGACUGUAACGUGUUCAGUUCCUGGAUGCAGUUAUGGGAAGUUUUGUGAACCUUACCACUUAGAGGAAGGAGAAGUCGUAACA
rnacentral:rRNA from 1 species